GGAAGGAUCAUUACUGCUUGCUCAUGGCCGCCUGGAGGGAAACCCCUUGGCGGUACGGCAACACCCACCCUUGACUACAUAUACCUUUCGUUAUUUCCUCGGCAGGGCAACCCGCCGCUGGGACAAUCAAACCCUCUUGUAUCAAGCAUCAAAACUUCUGAAACAAACCUAAAUAUCACAACUUUCAACAAUGGAUCUCUUGGUUCUGGCAUCGAUGAAGAACGCAGCGAAAUGCGAUAAGUAGUGUGAAUUGCAGACUUUAGUGAAUCAUCGAAUCUUUGAACGCACAUUGCGCCCUUGGUAUUCCAUUGGGCAUGCCUGUUCGAGCGUCAUUUACACCCUCAAGCUCUGCUUGGUGUUGGGCGUCUGUCCCCGCUUCACGCGAGGACUCGCCCCAAAUCCAUUGGCAGCGACAUCGUCGGCUUCUCGCGCAGCACAUCGCGCAUGAGAAGGUUCCCGACGGCUCGCGAUCAUCAAGAAAUCCCACAGUUUGACCUCGAAUCAGGUAGGGAUACCGCUGAACUUAAGCAUAUCAAUAAGCGGAGGAAAAGAAACCAACAGGGAUUGCCCUAGUAACGGCGAGUGAAGCGGCAAAAGCUCAAAUUUGAAAUCUGGCCUUCUAUGGAGGUCGAGUUGUAAUUUGCAGAGGGCGCUUUGGCGUCGGCAGCGGUCUAAGUUCCUUGGAACAGGACGUCACAGAGGUGAGAAUCCGUACGUGGUCGCCUGCCUUCGCCGUGUAAAGCCCUUCGACGAGUCGAGUUGUUUGGGAAUGCAGCUCUAAAUGGGAGGUAAAUUUCUCCUAAAGCUAAAUACUGGCCAGAGACCGAUAGCGCACAAGUAGAGUGAUCGAAAGAUGAAAAGUACUUUGGAAAGAGAGUCAAAAAGCACGUGAAAUUGUUGAAAGGGAAGCGCUUGCAGCCAGACUUGUCCGCGUUGUUCUCUUCCGUGGGCAGGCCAGCAUCAGUUUGGGCGAUCGGAUAAAGGCCUCUGUCACGUAUCACCUUCGGGUGACUUAUAGGGAGGUGUAAUGCGAUCAGCCUGGACUGAGGUCCGCGCAUCUGCUAGGAUGCUGGCGUAAUGGCUGUAAGCGGCCGUCUUGAAACACGGACCAAGGAGUCUAACAUCUAUGCGAGUGUUUGGGUGUCAAGCCGGGCGCGCAAUGAAAGUGAACGGAGGUGGGAACCUCUCGGGGUGCACCAUCGACCGAUCUGAAGUCUUCGGAUGGAUUUGAGUAAGAGCAUAGCUGUUGGACCGAAAGAUGGUGAACUAUGCUUGAAUAGGGUGAAGCCAGAGGAAACUCUGGUGGAGCUCGCAGCGGUUCUGACGUGCAAAUCGAUCGUCAAAUUUGGCAUAGGGGCGAAAGACUAAUCGAACUAUCUAGUAGCUGGUUCCUGC
rnacentral:misc_RNA from 1 species